AUUCUCGGUGUAGUCGUAAUAAGCGCUGAUAUCGAGAAGAACACCAAAGGCGAAGGCAGCUUGCUAGAACAUGCCUGACACUCAGGGACGAAAGCGUGGGUAGCGAAGGGGAUUAGAUACCCCCGUAGUCCACGCUGUAAACGAUGUGCACUAGACAUUGGAAGUAUCGACCCUUUCAGUGUCGUUUAAAAAAGCUAACGCGUUAAGUGCACCGCCUGGGGAGUACGACCGCAAGGUUAAAACUCAAAGGAAUAGACGGGGACCCGCACAAGCGGUGGAUCAUGUGGUUUAAUUCGAUGAUACGCGGGAACCUUACCUGGGCUCAACUACUAACUGCAAGCUACCUGAAAGGGAAGCCUCCUUCGAGGGUGUUAGAUAGGUGCUGCAUGGUUGCCGUCAGCUCGUGCCGUGAGGUGUACCCUUAAGUGGGGUAACGAGCGCAACCCUCGUUGUGUGUUAAAUUGUACACACAAGACUGCCUGCGCAAGCAGGAGGAAGGUGGGGACGACGUCAAAUCAGCAUGGCUCUUACGUCCAGGGCUACACACAUGAUACAAUGGUUGGUACAACGGGUAGCGAAGCCGCAAGGUGUAGCCAAUCCCUCAAAACCAAUCUCAGUUCGGAUUGAAGGCUGAAAUUCGCCUUCAUGAAGUUGGAAUCGCUAGUAAACGUGCAUCAGCUCGGCGCGUUGAAUACGUUCUCGGGUCUUGUACUCACCGCCCGUCAUACCACGAAAGUUGGCAACACCCGAAGACCCUGUAUAGGGUUGAAGGUGAGGUCAGUAAUUAGGGUAAAGUCGUAACAAGGCAUCCGUAGCGGAAGCUGUGGAUGGAUCACCUCCUUUCUGGAGUA
rnacentral:rRNA from 1 species